rnacentral:rRNA from 1 species
UUGCUUGACGAUCAUAGAGGCGUUGAACCACCUGAUCCCAUCCCGAACUCAGAAGUGAAAAGCGCAAUCGCCGAUGGUAGUGUGGGAGAUCCCAUGUGAGAGUAGGUCGUCGUCAAGCUUA